rnacentral:lncRNA from 1 species
AACUGUCUUUUCAGUAUGUUCCUGAGCAUUGUUUAGAGGAGGCAGAUUGGCUCCGGAAAGCAGGAAAGAAACCAUACAAAGAGAAGGAGGGGAGAAAGAGAGUUAAGAGGAUGUAAAAAAAAAUUAGAUGUGUUACAUACAUGUUCCAGUUUCCC